GCAGGAGGUGAUUCAGGAGCACCUCAAGGAGUGGAAGGGAGAGGUCGUGCAGGACAGGCCAACAAGAGCAUUAGAGCAACGAGGAUAAAAUAUUUGAUCAGCCCUAUAUCUUCUUCUCGAUGCAGCCCCGCAUAGGUAUCCUGGGGUGAUUCAAGAUGCUCAGGUGUAUCACACUGCAUGGUACACAGGUCAGUUUUGCAGGCUGCUCUGAGAUACACUGAUUUAGAUACAACCACAUGUCUGCAGCAAUUUCUUACUCUCGGUAUAAAGACCAGCUCAUGGUGUGGGAAGCAUCUCAUAUGGUUCACCGAAUCAAUUGAUGAAUCUGAAGCGAUUCAAGAGGAGGAGCAAAAAUUGUUUAUGCCUAUAG